AUGGUAGUUGUUCAGUCAGAACUAAAUAAGCCUCUCAGAUGAGAAGCGAAACCCCUUCAAGAAACCUUAACCAGUCCAGUUGCCCUUGAUUUCAACUUUCCUUGUUGAAAUCAAGGUGUAUUGGAACCACUAUAUUGUUGUGUGUAUGUUCUAUACUGACACCUAGUGGCGAAUGUUGAUGUUGAAUGCGGAUAGCUAGCGACUAAAAUAACAGGAAGUGACAUACAGGAUGUGACAUACAGAAGUGUGAUUCAGGAAGUGAUCGUGCCUUCAGUGUUAGCAUCUCAGCUUACCAUCAUCACAAUCCUAUGCCUUAAAGUCCACAAACCGGCUUCAUCUUUUUACAAAUACUAUUUUCCUGCAUUAAAUCCUGCCAAGCACAACACCCCGUCUGUUCAUUGGAGAAUGAGGUGCUGGAGAAUAUAUGUUAAGCUGGCUGUAUAGCUAUAAAAACAAGAAACUUUUAGCGAGGACAGCACACAAGGGCAUAAAUAAACUAAUUUAUUUUAUUAAUACAUAUAGAUUUAGAACAUAGAAAUUACAAUUUAACUUGAUGUAAAAAGAAUAUUUACAAUAAUCACAUUCCAUUAACUUUAUAUCAAUAUAAAGUACUUGUGUUGAUUGAACGUGAAUAGUCUGUGUUGAUUGAACGUGAAUAGUUUGUGUUGAUUGAACGUGAAUAGUUUGUGUUGAUUGAACGUGAAUAGUUUAUGUUGAUUGAACGUGAAUAGUCUGUGUUGAUGGAACACAAUUGUGUUAGUGGCUACCAAAGCAAACAAUUUGUGUGCAACCGAUGUCCACUAUUCAAUUGAGUAAAUCCAAUGAAUUAUUUUUUUCAGUGUACCGUGGUACCCGUACGUAAAAAAAUUGUAAACUUCCUUAACAUAGUGCAGGAUCAGAGGGCACUCACUGCUCCGCUCCAUGUCAUACUACCUGCACGCUGUGACAACUUGAAAGUGAUCACCAGCUUCAAAACAGCUGUUCUGGUGUGGUGGACCCGCCCCUUUUGGGGGAUAAUGAGUUUACGUGGCCCGGUGUACAAAGGGGAAGCACUUCCUGGUGUGCAAAAAAAUCAAUCAGUGGAGUGUAAUGGAGGGAAGGACACGCAGAGGGACGUAGGGGCUUUCAUUCACGGCUCCGUCGACGCACUGAACGCACUCGCACCCCGGGGCCGGACCGAAGGAGAGCGGCUCGUUUCCUGGGAGACUGGAGGAGCUCAGCCCGCUGUAGCCAGGUCACGCCGGGGACAGAGGAGCAAAACCCGGACCGGAUUAGCCGACGACUUGUCCCGAGCGGCGUCCAAACCCCAGCAAAACCCGGACCGGAUUGGCCGACGACUUGUCCCGAGCGGCGUCCAAAACCCAGCAAAACCCGGACCGGAUUUAUAGACUGGCUGACUCGCGUCAACGUGUGAGUCUAUAACGUUCUUUUCCUUUUUCGGUUCCGUGGAUAUUUUUGUGUAAAUAUAUGAACAUUUGAAAGUUUUUUUCCUUUUUGGAUUUCUCCUCUUUUUGGAAGGUGGACAGUGCGUUUUUUUGUUAUGCCUUGCUUGUUUUUUCUUUUUGUGUAAAUAUAUGAACUAUUGAAAGGUUUUCCCUUUUUGGAUUCCUCCUCUUUUUGGAGAGUGGACCGUGCGUUUUUCUUUGUUAUACUUGCUUGUUCUUUCUUUUUGUGUAAAUAUACGAACUAUUGAACGAAA